ACGGUUCUUCGUUCUUCAGGUAAAUAUAAAUGUUUAAUUUUUAUUAGCUAUGAGAUUGGUAGUACAUCUCUGUAGUUUUUUAUUCUUUCUACUUGUUAUUGUUGAAUUUGUCCAUUUAGUUGCUGGGUAUUGUGUAUUGCCAACAGAAGAACAAUGAACAACAGCUUGAGUACAGUAGAAGCAGAUCUGUUCUGGGGUGAUGCUUAUGUUUGUUGGAUUCUUAUUUUACUCAGACGCAACAUGUUGAUUAGUGUUGUGACAUAAUUAUGGUAUUGUGUAUUGCUACCAUGAGCAGCGCACCAAGUGUACAUAAACGCUAACUGGUUUCUAGCAGGAAGCAAUACACUAGCAAAUCUAGCUAUUCUGGCGAUUCUUCAGUGGCAAGCCAAAACGCACACGCAUGAGACACAGUGGCUAUUAUUUUCUCUCUCUCCAUGCAAAGAUACAUAUGCUGAUGCAUGUAUAUAUACGCGCCCGUGCAGCCGACUUGUACAACUCUGAAUCUAUUUCAAACUAGUUACUUCCCUAAUCUAAUCACUAGGACUACAAUAGGAAACAAACAACUAUUCGCUAUGGACAAGUUUGUUAAUUCCAACAGCUUGGUGGAUCGCUGCUAGACAACUUUCCAAUCAGCUGAAGCAAAUGGAACAAGUUGAUAUGUUGUGGUUUUGUAAUGAUGGUAGUUGUUGGCCUCAAUUUCUACUGCUUUUGCUUUGCGCUGUGUCGGAUACCUUUUUAGCUUGCCCAGUACAUGGGUUACUUUAGCCUCCCUUGCUCUAGUGUUAAACUCGAACACUUGUAUUCUUUAGAUUUUUUUUGCCCUUUCUCUGCAGCAACACAUUGGUUUUACAGAAAUGAAAUAGGAGGGGGGAGCUCUCUUUUUUUCAUAAAGAAGUUUUGAUAUUGUAUCAAAAAACACAGAUCUGAAUUUAAAAUUGUACGUCAUACCCAAACUCUUGAAUUUCUAUGCAGAAAGGGAAUAUGUACUAUAAUUCCAAACGCUCCAUGGAAGGAAUUGAAUUCCUACACAAUAGUUUGUGUAGCAUUGAGUUGGGUUUAGCCCAACUAGUUUCGGCUGUACCAUGCAAUACACAAGAAAAUGAGGAGUAGUGUAUCGGGAGCAUCAUUCCAAAGCAUGUUACCAUCCUCACACCUAAGGAUAUCAAUGCAAGGGGCACAUGCUCUAGAAUAAAGGGGCAUAGGGAUGGUGUGAGGAGUGGAUCUGGUGAGAAGAGAAGGCCUGGAAUUCAUCAAAAAGUCGCGCGCAAAUGCAACAUUUGUAAGGAAAUGGUGUUUCAUGAUGCAAGAACAUGUUCUAAGAAACAAACGACAAAACAAUAGAGGUUUGUGCUUCUUCUUGCUUCGAAGACUACCACUUAUUUGUCUUGCUAUGACCACUCAACUAGGUUGAUUUAAACGAUUAGGCAUACAUAGAUAAUUUACCAGAGAUAUGUGUGCCUUCCAUUUUAAGGACCUAUGGUAUCGCUACAGCAAGGAGUAUAUGAUUUAGUACUAUUCCUUCAUCCAUGACAUGAGCCUAUCUGGCAUCUUGUUCAUUUAUAUUUUCCUGUGUUGUUGUGGUUUUCUUAUUAUUGAAGGUAUAAUAUAAUGCAUGCCACCAAGUUUGUUGUUUAUAGCUAUCAAAUUUGAAUAAUAAUUUACAUCUACAGGGCAUUGAUAAAACUCCCUUUAAAUUGCUCAAUGCCACUUAUUUGUCGUUCCCAUUUGUGCACCAAUCAUGGAAUUGUAAUCCAUUUAUCGUAGGUCUAUAAUGGAAUAAUGAACUAUGCUGCAACAAAAUAUUUGUACUCUCUCUGUUAUGUUUCCUAGGUUGGAGUGCUGAAUGAAGCUGGACAUAUAGAACGACUGUCUCUCUUCUCAAGAUAUGCCAUUUGGUAUAUGUUGUUGACUGACCCCUAUUUACUUGUGUGUUCACCUAGGUAGAUUGAGCUGAUCAAGUGUAUAAGAGCCCAUGGAGGUUGUCAUCUCUUUCCCAGCAUGAAGCUCGAUUGCUAGGAAGCACUAACACGAGGCAAAACGACAGAUAUUUUCAGUCUUGUACCAGCAAGAUGCUUGUUGGGCGAUGAUAAUUUCAGCCUUUACCACUUGGUCUUGCCGGCCAUGUACUAAAAAUGAUCUGUAUGGCUCAUGUACCCAAGUACUCAAAUGCUUGCUGAGCACUGAUAAUUUCAGUCCUUAAUUUGCUCUACUUCCAGUUUGACAUGUAUGCGUGGUUCUACUUGCCUCUUCGUGAUGUGUUCUCAUGUACUGAAAUGCUUGCCGAGCAGCUACAAUUUCAAUCAUUAGGUUGCUAUAUUUCCAGUUUGACAUGUAUGUGUGAUUCUACCUGAUCCAGGAUGGCUUAUUAUCCCAUGUGCUCAAAUAUUUGUUAUAUAUACGCUUGUUUCUUAGUGACCAAGAUGUUCAACUCUCUUGAAAAGUUAGUGGUGUAACAUAAAUGUGUCUGGAUUUUGUGCAGUAAAUAUUUGCUCAGAUUUUAUAUGAGACUAGUUG
rnacentral:lncRNA from 1 species